UACGGGGGGGGCAAGCGUUGUUCGGAAUUACUGGGCGUAAAGGGCCAGUAGGCGGCCAACUAAGUCCGACGUGAAAUCCCCAGGCUUAACCUGGGAACUGCGUCGGAUACUGGAUGGCUUGAAUUCGGGAGAGGGAUGCAGAAUUCCAGGUGUAGCGGUGAAAUGCGUAGAUAUCUGGAGGAACACCGGUGGCGAAGGCGACAUCCUGGACCGGUAUUGACGCUGAGGCGCGAAAGCCAGGGGAGCAAACGGG
rnacentral:rRNA from 1 species